ACAACACAUAUUUAUUCUCAAGCCUUGGAGAAGCUUGCCCCACACAUUCAACAGGUUAGCAUGGAAAGUAAUGGAAAGGGAGUUUUGAUUGAUGGGGUACCUCUACCAUUUGAACCUGGUGAGGUAGGGAGCAAUCAUGAUGAGCUAAUGUCAAGUUUCUUUGCACAACCAGAUGCCCUUGCCUAUGAGAAG